AGCGAACGCUGGCGGCGUGCUUAACACAUGCAAGUCGAGUGCGUAGCCCUUUGUAGCAAUACAGAGGGUGGGCGCACGGCGCACGGGGUGAGUAACACGUGGGUAACCUGCCCUUCGGUGGGGAAUAACCCCGCGAAAGCGGGGCUAAUUCCGCAUAACAUUCCGGGGACACAUGUUCUCGGACUCAAAGGAGUGAUUCGCCGGAGGAGGGGCCCGCGCCCGAUUAGCUUGUUGGUAGGGUAACGGCCACCAAGGCUUUGAUCGGUAGCCGGUCUGAGAGGAUGGCCGGCCACACUGGAACUGAGACACGGUCCAGACUCCUACGGGAGGCAGCAGUGGGGAAUCUUGCGCAAUGGGCGAAAGCCUGACGCAGCGACGCCGCGUGGGGAUGAAGCUUCUCGGAGU
rnacentral:rRNA from 1 species